rnacentral:rRNA from 1 species
AGAAAGGGACGGCUAACUACGUGCCAGCAGCCGCGGUAAUACGUAGGUCCCGAGCGUUAUCCGGAAUUAUUGGGCGUAAAGGGCACGUAGGCGGACAAAUAAGUUUGAUGUCAAAUAUGAUGGCUCAACCAUCAAGAGGCGUUGAAAACUGUUUAUCUAGAAUCUCGGAGAGGUAAGUGGAAUUCCAUGUGUAGCGGUGGAAUGCGUAGAUAUAUGGAGGAACACCAAUGGCGAAGGCAGCUUACUGGACGAAGAUUGACGCUGAGGUGCGAAAGCGUGGGUAGCAAACAGGAUUAGAUACCCUGGUAG